AUGAGUUCUAUAAAAAAUUUGUUUACUUCUGAAGGCACAUCGGGCAUGGAUGUGGUACUUGACUCGGUUCCAGCCAGGGUCACGGCAGAGAUGAAUAAUGGGUUGACCGCUCCCUACACACCCAAUGAGGUAAAAAAUGCUCUUUUCCAGAUGUAUCCCACAAAAGCCCCGGGGCCAGAUGGAUACCCGGCACACUUCUUCCAGAGGCAUUGGGAACUUUGUGGUACCAAAGUUACGAAUGUGGUCCUGAGGAUUCUUCGUGCGGAGGAGAGCCCCGAGGUAAUCAACGAAACGAUCCUUGUGCUAAUUCCCAAGGUUAAAGAUCCCACAAAUUUAACCCAGUUUCGUCCCAUAAGUUUGUGUAAUGUGCUUUACAAAAUUGCGUCAAAGGUGUUGUUCAACAGGUUGAAGCAAAUCUUGCCUGAUAUAAUCUCUGAGGAACAAUCUGUUCCAGGUCGGCUAAUCAGUGAUAAUAUAAUAACUGCUUAUGAAUGCUUACACUUUAUGAAGAGGAACAAAGCCAAGAGAUAU
rnacentral:rRNA from 1 species